UACGAGGGGGGCAAGCGUUGUUCGGAAUUAUUGGGCGUAAAGGGCGCGUAGGCGGUGCGGUAAGUCACCUGUGAAAUCUCCGGGCUUAACUCGGAGCCUGCAGGCGAAACUGCCGUGCUUGAGUGUGGGAGAGGUGCGUGGAAUUCCCGGUGUAGCGGUGAAAUGACGUAGAUAUCGGUAGGAACACCAGUGGCGAAGGCGGUCUCCUGGGGCAUUCGU
rnacentral:rRNA from 1 species